rnacentral:rRNA from 1 species
UUAUGUGAUCGUCUCUCGCAUAUCAAUAAGCGGAGGAAAAGAAACUAACAAGGAUUCCCCUAGUAACGGCGAGUGAAGCGGGAAGAGCUCAAAUUUGAAAUCUUAAAGGGUUUCCCUUUACGAAUUGUAGUUUAAAGAAGUGUUUUCUGUUGAGGUUUUGGUAAAAGUUCUUUGGAAUAGGACAUCAUAGAGGGUGAGAAUCCCGUAUUUGACCUUUACUUUCAACUUUGUGAUACACUUUCAAAGAGUCGGAUUGUUUGGGAACGCAGUCCAAAAUGGGUGGUAAAUUUCAUCUAAAGCUAAAUAUUGGCGAGAGACCGAUAGCGAACAAGUACCGUGAGGGAAAGAUGAAAAGAACUUUGAAAAGAGAGUUAAACAGUACGUGAAAUUGUCAAAAGGGAAGCGUUUGACACCAGUGUUGUUUUUCUGAAAAUCAAUUAAAGAACUGUUUAUGCUAAGCUGUUUAGACUUUAUCAGCUAACUGUUUAGUUUUGAGCUUUUCUUUAAUGCACUUUUCAGUUAACAAGUCAACAUCAAUUUCUUUUGCUGUAAAAAAGCUUGAGGAAGGUGGCUUGAGAUUCGUCUUAAGUGUUUAUAGCCUCUUGCCUAUGCAGUCGGAGAGAUUGAGGUCUGCAGCGUAGAUCCUUCGGGGCUAAAUGCAUUUGUGCUAAGUUAUAGCAUUUCAUAGACAACUUGUUGACUAUGAUUUGUCUUGUAGCUUACUCGCUUAUGUUAUUUUACCUACGCUUAGGAUGUUGAUAUGCAUGACUGAUAU